AUCGGCUACACGAAGUUCUUCGUCAUCGUCGUUCUGUCCCAGCUAUUGGACCGUUUGACUAGCAGUCUGCCUUCAGGCAUCGCGCUGGAAAGACACGCGACGAUCUCUCACGGUGACAAAGUUUUAAAGCAAACUGAAAUUGCAGAGUGUGUUUUUGUUUUCAUUUUGGCGCCGCCGGUUCGGUUCGGUUCUGCAAAUCGAGGUCACGUUCCUUCCAAGACGUGAUAACAAGCUUGUAUAUAUUUAUUCGGCGGCCUUUGAAGUGUUUGUGUGCAGGUUUAUCUGCUCACAUGUGACAAACGAGAGUAAUCAAUGUAAUUGGGAGAGUGACCCACGUGAGCUCCGAAAUCGCUGCCUAAUGAUGAUGAAGUCACAAAACGCCGUCAAUAAGAGACGGGGGGGGGUCAACGAGUCACACUGAAUGCGUGAACUUGCGUGGUUGAAUUGGAAUAAAUGAAUGAGUGACUAAACAUUCCUGCCAUCCGACGACGUAAAUUUGCAUGACGAAAUGGACCUUAGUUGAUGUGUCCUGUCUUCUUCCAUUUCUGUUGACUGUUUGUGAGCACACCGUCGUUGUCGUAAUCUAAGUUUCUGAACAGAUAACAAGCCGAUUUUUUUUCAUGGCUUCAUUAGAAGUGACCUUUUGCAUUUAGAAGAAUGCAUCAAGAAGAACCUAAUUUGCUUGAAAAUUGAACAUUUUUAAGGGUUGUUGCUGAAGCGGAGAACAAUGAAAGUUCAACUUUAAAUUGGCAAAUAUAUCAUACCAUGUUGAUUUGAUUGCUUUUCUACUGACGACGCCAAUCUUUUCUCUUAUCAGAGACAGUGAGAGUGCAGGUUAUACAGUGAUAAAAACGGCCUGUAGAAUUGUGAUCAUUUGGAUUUGGUUGUGUUUUGUUUUGUGAAAGAUGAAAAGAUAGUGUUAAUUGGAGCAACUUGAAUAAGACAGUUGCAUUAUAUUGCAUUUCGAUCCUCUCAGACUACCCUUGCUUGGAGGUUGU